rnacentral:rRNA from 1 species
AGCGUUAUCCGGAUCAUUUGAGUUAAGGGUCCGUAUGCGGAGUAUAAGUCAGUGAGGAAUGUUGCAGCUCAACUGUAGAAUGCCAUGAUACUGUUAGUCUUGAGUCAGUAUGAAGUGGUUUGAUGGAGUGGUGUAGCGGUGAAAUGCAUAGAUAUCACUCAGAAUACCGAUUGCGAAGGCAGAUCACUAAUAAUGUACUGACGCUGAUGGACGAAAGCGUAGGUAGCGAACAGGAUUAGAUACCCUGGUAGUCUACGCCGUAAACGAUGGUUACUAGCUGUUUCGUCGAUUGAGACUGAGUGGCUAAGCGAAAGUGAUAAGUAACCCACCUGGGGAGUACGUUCGCAAGAAUGAAACUCAAAGGAAUUGACGGGGGCCCGCACAAGCGGUGGAGCAUGUGGUUUAAUUCGAUGAUACGCGAGGAACCUUACCAGGGCUUAAAUGUAGUCUGACAGAUUUGGAAACAGAUUUUUCUUCGGACAGAUUACAAGGUGCUGCAUGGUUGUCGUCAGCUCGUGCCGUGAGGUGUCAGGUUAAGUCCUAUAACGAGCGCAACCCCUGUGGUUAGUUGCCAGCGAGUCAAGUCGGGAACUCUAGCCAGACUGCCGGUGCAAACCGUGAGGAAGGUGGGGAUGACGUCAAAUCAUCACGGCCCUUACGUCCUGGGCCACACACGUGCUACAAUGGUAGGGACAGAGAGCAGCCACUUCGCGAGAAGGAGCGAAUCUUCAAACCCUAUCACAGUUCGGAUCGCAGUCUGCAACUCGACUGCGUGAAGCUGGAAUCGCUAGUAAUCGGAUAUCAGCCAUGAU